AACACUGUCACGCUCGCAUAACUAGAUUGGUAAUUAUGGUAAGUAUUUUGUGGUGUUUCUAUGUGGUAUGUAUGUAGGGUUUGUAUUUAGUGGUGCGCUACCUAUAAGUCGGACCUCUCUGUCAGGUAAGUAUUUUCGAUAAGGCGCGAGAGAUACCAGAUGACGGGCGAUCGGUAAGGCACGCUCUGGACGGAGGAUCGUUCGAGGUAUUGGAGACAUUGUUAUAUUUGUCUCAUAUGAGUGAAAGCACAGAAAGCUGACUGUGCUUUCUACCGUGGAUUAUCAAGGGAACUGGGUGAGAUGGACCAGCCAACACAGUAACAGUUUUGAUCAUGACAGGGUCAUCUACAUGUGAUAGUCAGUGGCGGUAUAACCCAGCCUUGUUUCCCGGUGAUGCAGUUGACUCAUAUAAGUCAGUGGUCAACAGUUCGACCUACAUGUAUACCUGUGUGGUUUCCAUGUGGCAGUGAUGAUGAUUCCGAUAUCAGCUGAUUGUUGCGUUAACACUGAAGUGUUAUGAGAUACUGAAGUAUCUACAUCUACACUCAUAGCUGGCUACUCAGGUGACGUGAUAAGGACAGAGGACCAGAGGAGUUGAUUGGAAAGGAAGAGGACAGAACUAUUAAAAAGACUGUAUAUAUCCUUAUGUGUAGUGUGAGUGUGAGUGUGUGUGCAUUUUGUAGAUAUAAUAGCCUUAUAAAUACUGUAAAUAAAUAUGUAUAUACUGUAUA